UAAUUUUACUUAGUAGUUUCUUUUUUUUAAUAUUUGAGUUGAUAACAACUGUGAUAACACAGCAAUUAAUAUAUUUAUUUCUAUUUUUUUUUCUAGGUUAGAUUCCUAAAAAGAGAAUUAUCGAGUCAGAGACAGAAGCUUUUUUUGAGGUUCCCCAUGGGGAGAGUAAUCCCCAGGGGGAUUACUCCUCAGUAAUGUUGCAUCAUUCUUCACUCCAGGAUCUACCUCACCACACCAUUACUGGCAAUGGGUGACCAUGGAAACAUGGAACAGCUAAUAAAUCCUGGAUAAUACUCACGCUGCAUUUGAUUUUGCUGUCAUCUGGUACCUGCUCUUAAUGUUGGGUGAUCGCAGUACAUAAUUUACCGGAUGGCAACAGCACCUGAAUUUUACCUGAUGGGCCAGCUGAUCCCCCUCACUCUCCAAGGACCAGAUGAGAGCAUGCUGGAAAUGAACCAAUCUGCAGGGAAGGGAAACAACUCAAUAUUCAAGCUCCAUGUCAUAGAUGCAGGACUGGCUGUAUAGUUGAAAAGCCUAUUGGGAUGAAGCCAGCUGCCAUGUUGUGAGCUCUCAGUGGUGAGGCCCAUAUGGGCAGCCUCUGGCUGAUGGCCAACGAGGACGUAAGGGCCUCAGCCGUAGAGAAACUGAAUCCUGCCAAAAACCACUGAGAGAUUGUAGAGGUUGAUCACCUUGAGUGAAGCCUCCAGAUGCCUGAAUGCCCAGCCCACAGCUUGACUCCCGGCUUGCGAGUGACCAGAGCCAUGCCUAGACUCCCGCCUUAUGGAAAUUGCAAGAUGACAAAUGUUUGUUGUUUUAAGCUGCUAAGUUUUGGGGUCAUUUGUUACACAGCUAUAGAUAACUGAUAGAUUAUAAAUGAACUGAAACGUAGUGAAUAAUGAAGCAAAUGAAAUAAAUUGAGGGAAAACAUAUUUAAACUUUACUUACAAUAAAGGGGUUACUGGGCUCUAGUGGAGAAAAAACUGCCCCCUAACUCAUGCUGGUUUUCACUUCCGUCUCUGUUCCAUGCCCAGAAGGAGGAUGGCUGCCGGAGGAUGUCAGAUCAAGCCCCCUUUAGCCAUGAUGGCACCUCCAGGAUAAAGGCCAGGGUCUCCCCGCUCUUCCUUGUUCUCCCUUUUUGAAGUGGGAGGAGUCUGGAGGCAGUUCCCCCAGGGUGUCCUCCUCCUGUCUGCU
rnacentral:lncRNA from 1 species